GGGGAUAUAGCUCAGCUGGUGGAGUGCUUGCCUUGCAUGCAAAAGGCCCUGGGUUCAUUCCCCAGCACCA
rnacentral:tRNA from 1 species